rnacentral:rRNA from 1 species
UACAGAGGUCUCAAGCGUUGUUCGGAUUCAUUGGGCGUAAAGGGUGCGUAGGCGGCGCGGUAAGUCGGGGUGUGAAAUCUCGGAGCUUAACUCCGAAACUGCAUUCGAUACUGCCGUGCUUGAGGACUGGAGAGGAGACGUGGAAUUUACGGUGUAGCGGUGAAAUGCGUAGAUAUCGUAAGGAAGACCAGUGGCGAAGGCGGCUCUCUGGGACCGGAUCCUG